rnacentral:rRNA from 1 species
UACAGAGGGUGCGAGCGUUGUCCGGAAUCACUGGGCGUAAAGGGCGCGUAGGUGGUGGCUUAAGCGUGCGGUGAAAGCUCGGGGCUCAACUCCGAGUCGGCCGUGCGAACUGGGCUCACUGGAGCAUAGUAGAGGCAGGUGGAAUUCCGGGUGUAGUGGUGGAAUGCGUAGAGAUCCGGAGGAACACCGAUGGCGAAGGCAGUUCUCUGGGCCGUAACUGACGCUGAGGAGCGAAAGCGUGGGGAGCGAACAGG